AUAUGACACUGAAAAAGCUCGACGGAACGUCUCAAUGAACAUCGGAUGUGAACCAAACCAAACAAAACGAUCAGAGAGAGAGAGAGAGAGAGAGAGAGAUGUGGAGACGCGUAGCUCGACUGUCUUCCCUCAUACGAUCGUCGAAAGCGUCUCUUUCUAACCAGAUACAGCCAGCCAAUGGAUUGCAGAUUUUGGAAGCAUUCAGUACGGAAAUACAGAAAUCGGCAAAAGGUCGAAACCACCACAGAGAGAAACCCACAUUCAUAACUUUUGUCUUGGGAGGCCCUGGUAGUGGAAAAGGUACACAGUGUUUGAAGAUUGUUGAGACCUUUGGGUUCACUCACUUGAGUGCUGGAGAUCUGUUACGGAAGGAAAUAUCUUCUAAUAGUGAGAAUGGUGCCAUGAUUCUUGAGACAAUCAAGGAAGGAAAUAUUGUUCCUUCGGAACUGACAGUCAAACUGAUCCAAAGGGAAGUUGAAUCAAGUGAGAAUGACAAAUUUCUUAUUGAUGGAUUUCCACGAACUGAAGAGAACCGCCGGACAUAUGAACGUGUGGUUGGAGCAGAGCCGAACAUUGUGCUUUUCUUUGAUUGCCCUGAAGAAGAGAUGGUGAAGAGAGUGCUGAGUCGUAAUCAGGGGCGAGUUGAUGAUAAUAUUGAUACAGUCAAGAAACGUCUUGAAGUUUUUAAUGCUUUAAACCUUCCUGUCAUCAACUACUAUUCUGAGAAAGGAAAACUGUACAAGGUAUUCAUUCAAUCCCCGCUGUAGGAACAGAAGAUGAGAUAUUUACAAGAGUUCGCAAGAUUUUUACUUCAUUGGAGGUUUAAAUCGGUGUUACAUGGCAGCAGGCGACUAAAUAAAAAGAAGCUGAAUGGUCGAAGAACAAAACCGAUUUUGAGAGAUCAUGGCAUUCAGCCGGCUGUUUCCCUCUUUUUGCACCUUGCAAUGUGGACUAUUGGUUUAUCAGUUGCCCAUUUUCCCCCCCCCCCCACUUACUUGGGAUGUUUGAUGGGUUAGCCACUAACAAUACCAGAGGCAAAUAAAUUUUGUUCCCCCAUUUGUCGCGUCAACUGGUGCGGAUGAAUAGCUUGUUGUAAUGAAAAGUUACGUUGUUGUAGCCCAACUCCUAGUGCAUGCCUGUCUGUACAGGAAGAAAGCUCAUCUGAUAUCCAAUGACUUCCGUUAUGAGAUAAAUUCAUUCCAGCGUGGAUGUGUAGAACUAAACUAGACAUCUCUAUUGUCCCCCCAAACAGCAAACCUCAGACUUUAAGUCAUGUAUCAGAUGCAUUUCAAAAGCCAAUGGCAAAUAAAAUUUAACCAUCUCAUGAUUCUCAAUC